ACUGUCAUCUCCUGGGAAGAAUCAUUGAAGGCAGAAACCUCGUGAGCAUUUGAAUGACAUCUCAGACAUUUGAUACAAUCUCUAGGGUCUGGAGCAGCAUUUGGUGAUGUGAGCCCUCACCUGUAUUCUAAGGAAAGGAAAGGAAAGACAUAUGGUCCAACUCUCCAGUGAGUUGCAGUGAUCCCCUGCCCUGGCCACAACAAACACACCUCUGUAUUUCAGGUUCUCCAGAUAGGUUUAGGACCUCGAUGCCUGGCGGAACACCUACUCCCACCAAGCUCUACCCGGAUCACCCGUGCGAGUCAGGAG